UGGGGAAUAUUGGACAAUGGGCGGAAGCCUGAUCCAGCAACGCCGCGUGAGGGAUGACGGCCUUCGGGUUGUAAACCUCUUUCAGUACCGACGAAGCGAAAGUGACGGUAGGUACAGAAGAAGGACCGGCCAACUACGUGCCAGCAGCCGCGGUAAUACGUAGGGUCCGAGCGUUGUCCGGAAUUAUUGGGCGUAAAGGGCUCGUAGGCGGUUUGUCGCGUCGGGAGUGAAAACAGCGGGCUUAACUCGUUGCUUGCUUUCGAUACGGGCAGACUAGAGGUAUGCAGGGGAGAAUGGAAUUCCUGGUGUAGCGGUGAAAUGCGCAGAUAUCAGGAGGAACACCGGUGGCGAAGGCGGUUCUCUGGGCAUUACCUGACGCUGAGGAGCGAAAAGUGUGGGGAGCGAACAGGAUUAGAUACCCUGGUAGUCCACACCGUAAAACGUUGGGCGCUAGGUGUGGGGUCCUUUCCACGGAUUCCGUAACGUAGCUAACGCGUGAAGUUGACCGCCUGGGGAGUACGGUCGCAAAGAUUAAAAACUC
rnacentral:rRNA from 1 species